rfam:Agrilus planipennis Contig54447, whole genome shotgun sequence.
ACCUCUCCCCCUCCAAAUAUUCUCAACAAUCCUCCCUUGGGAGUCUCAACCUUCGAGUUGACAUUCCUACUAGAGGAGGGGUUUUAGUCGGUAGACGCUUCGGCGAAUCCGACACUACCCCCUUUCAGGGGGUGUCUUUUAAAGAUUUUACCUCCUCGGGGAUA